rnacentral:rRNA from 1 species
UGGGGAAUUUUGCACAAUGGGGGCAACCCUGAUGCAGCGACGCCGCGUGAUUUAGAAGGCCUUCGGGUUGUAAAAAUCUUUUGUAUAGGAAGAAAAUGACAGUACUAUACGAAUAAGGUCCGGCUAAUUACGUGCCAGCAGCCGCGGUAAUACGUAAGGACCGAGCGUUGUCCGGAAUCAUUGGGCGUAAAGGGUACGUAGGCGGUUAAAAAAGUUAGAAGUGAAAGGCUAUAGCUCAACUAUAGUAAGCUUUUAAAACUGUUUAACUUGAGAGAUGGAAGGGAAAGUGGAAUUCCUAGUGUAGCGGUGAAAAGCGCAGAUAUUAGGAGGAAUACCGGUGGCGAAGGCGACUUUCUGGCCAUUAUCUGACGCUGAGGUACGAAAGCGUGGGUAGCAAACAGG